AAUACGAUUUUUAUAACGUAUAACAAAAUAUUUCUGUUUUGUUUAACGUUGAAAUUUGGUGGACGAUAAAUUUUGUUUUGAAUUUGAUAAUUGUUUCUGAAGGCGAUUUUAUCCUUUGUGACAUUUCUCACAUUUCUCAGUGUGCUCAGAAUAAAGCUGUAUUUUUGACUGCCUAUUCUCGCUGUGUUGGUUUCGCGUUUCAUCAUUUCUCCAACUUAAGUGGUGGUUUGUGUUUCUGCCUCAUUCUGUUUACAUCCCUGUCCGUUAAAGAGAGCAAAAUAUCAAAACGCUUCAAACUAAUCAACACACUGAACAUAGGCAUGCCAGGAUGAUUACGACUAAAUUAAAAGUUUUAUUCUUGAUAUAAAACAAUAAAUAAAAACCAAGUAACUUGCCCUAUAUGAUAUUUAUCAGCAACGUGCCCAUGAUAAUGGCCGGACUGCUCGCUUUGCUCACUUCCACGUGGAUGUUCGCAAUGCCAGUUUAUCUCACCAGUCUGGAAGAUUUUCCGUUGGCACAUGACUUUACGCCGAAGUUCAACAUUUCUAUAUUUCAAUAGUAAUAAAUGGUGUAAUAAAUAAAGUGUUAAUUAUUAGUCAUCUCGGAAUAACUGAUAUUUCUUUACUUCAUUCACUAAUAUUAUAUAAGGUAAA